rnacentral:rRNA from 1 species
AUGCAACCAGAUUUGAAUAAAUUUCCUCGUACUGAAUUUGGAAGUUCACGUUCAUCAAGAGCAUUUUCUAAAUCUUGGUACAAAACUCAUCCAUGGAUUGAUUACAGUGAGUGGAAGAAGGCAGCUUAUUGUUUUUAUUGCUUUCUCUUUAAGCAACCUGGAAGGGCUGAGCACUUUGGUUAUGAAGUAUUCACCAAAGAAGGAUUUACAGAUUGGAAGCAUGCAUCUAAAGCCUUCAAAGAUCAUAUUGGUGGUCCUGGUAGUAAGCACAACUCUUGCGUCAAGCAAUAUGAUGAUUAUUGUAAUCAAAGACAAAGUGUGGCAAGCAAUUUUGCUAGAACUAGCAAGGAAUCAGAAGAAAUGUAUAAGAUCCGCUUGACUUGUUCUGUAAGUUGUUCAAGAUAUCUCAUCGCACAAGGCUUGGCUUUUCGUGGACAUGACGAAUCCUCUACUUCUCUGAUCAAAGGAAACUUUAGAGAGAUGAUAGAUUUGGAAAAAACUAAAAAUGAACAAGUGAGGGAUGCUUUUGACCGUGGUGGAAGAAAUUGCACAAUGACAUCUGGUGACAUUCAAAAGGAGCUUGCAAUGUGUUGUGCACAUGAAGUUACCAAGAGAUCAUGGCAGAGCUUGGUGAUAAACAAUUCUCUGUGCUUAUUGAUGAAUCACGUGAUAUAUCUGUGA